rnacentral:rRNA from 1 species
AUUGAACGCUGGCGGCAGGCCUAACACAUGCAAGUCGAACGAGUGGCGGACGGGUGAGUAACACGUAGGAACCUACCGAUAAGCGGGGGACAACAUCCGGAAACGGGUGCUAAUACAGCAUUCAAUCGAUGGCCUUGCGGUGCAUUAGCUCGUUGGUGGGGUAACGGCCUACCAAGGCAAUGAUGCAUAGCCGACCUGAGAGGGUAAUCGGCCACAUUGGGACUGAGACCCGGCCCAAACUCCUACGGGAGGCAGCAGUAGGGAAUCUUCCGCAAUGGGCGCAAGCCUGACGGAGCAACGCCGCGUGUAUGAAGAAGGCCUUCGGGUUGUAAAGUACUUUCAGCGAGGAGGCGUUACUCGCAGAAGAAGCACCGGCUAACUCCGUGCCAGCAGCCGCGGUAAUAC